rnacentral:rRNA from 1 species
AGAGUUUGAUCAUGGCUCAGGAUGAACGCUGGCGGCGUGCUUAACACAUGCAAGUCGAACGAACCUUCGGGUUAGUGGCGGACGGGUGAGUAACGCGUGAGAAUCUGCCCUCAGGAGGGGGAUAACGGUUGGAAACGACCGCUAAUACCCCAUAGGCCUACUGGUGAAAUGAAUUUCGCCUGAGGAUGAGCUCGCGUCUGAUUAGCUAGUUGGUGAGGUAAUGGCUCACCAAGGCUUCGAUCAGUAGCUGGUCUGAGAGGAUGAUCAGCCACACUGGGACUGAGACACGGCCCAGACUCCUACGGGAGGCAGCAGUGGGGAAUUUUCCGCAAUGGGCGAAAGCCUGACGGAGCAACGCCGCGUGAGGGACGAAGGCCUCUGGGCUGUAAACCUCUUUUCUCAAGGAAGAAGAUAUGACGGUACUUGAGGAAUAAGCCACGGCUAAUUCCGUGCCAGCAGCCGCGGUAAUACGGGAGUGGCAAGCGUUAUCCGGAAUUAUUGGGCGUAAAGCGUCCGCAGGCGGCUUUUCAAGUCUGCUGUUAAAGCGUGGAGCUUAACUCCAUCAUGGCAGUGGAAACUGAAAGGCUUGAGUAUGGUAGGGGCAGAGGGAAUUCC